rnacentral:lncRNA from 1 species
UGGCAGCUCAAGGGCGACGCCCAGGCGGCGGCCAAGGAGGAGUUCAUUGAGAUCCUGAAGCUGCUGGAGGGCGAGCUGGGGGACAAGAAGUACUUCGGCGGUGACGCCUUCGGCUUCGUCGACAUCGCGCUCGUCCCCUUCGUGUGCUGGUUCUACACCUACGAGACCUCCGCCGGCUUCAGCAUCGAGGAGGCGGCGCCCAAGGUGGUGUCGUGGGGCAAAAGAUGCUUGGAGCGGGAGAGCGUGGCCAACUCACUGUCCGACCCCGACAAGAUCUACGAGGCCGUGAACGUCUACAAAAAGAGAAUUGGAAUCGAGUAGUCUACGUUAGCAGUAGUGACCGUGUUGCAUGGUGUUUGCAUGCUCUGCGUCUCAUGGCGUUGUAUUUGCUCUCGCUGUUGUCUUCUUGAAUAAUCUACCUUUCUUGGUGGUGUUAUGUGGCAGAUGCAGCAUAUCUCGUUAGAAACCAGGCACAAUUCUCUCUCUCUCUCUCUCUUAACAUAGAUACGCCAACAUGUGCUUCGAUGAAAGAGUAAUUAUUGAUUAUUUCUGUAUUUGAGUACUGGUACUUAUCAAAUUUACAUUGAGAUACUCAUAAUUUAAAAAAUAAUAAUAAUAAUCUAUUUUAUUCUAACAUUAUCAUAUGUAUCGAAGAAAAACAUAACAUAUGUCAUAUGUUGGAUCGAUAUAAAAAUGAUUAUUUUUUCUGUUUCCAAUAAUUUUAUCAGUAAAACGAUAAUUUUUAACAUUCCACUUGAAUUCUACCGGUAGCUUAAGUCUUCCCAUCCAAGAGGAGCUUGAGUUACGUGUAAGGAAGUGGACUUCCAUUAUCCUUAACUCAUCUACAAUUGGCAAUUUAUUUUAGUGCAUAAUGUCACAUCAUAAAAAUGCAUGAUAAGUGAAGCCAUCCUUUGUUGAAUUCAUUAAACGAAGCAGAAAACCUAAUCAAGAUGUACCGCCCAAUUUCUUAUUGAACUCCAAGGAUUGAAAUUAGAAUAAUUAAGUCGACUCACCAGUUUCAUAUUAUUUUUCACAUGGCACCACCUCAACGUGUCGACAACAUGACCCAUAUAUUAUCGAUAUAUGAUCACCACCUUAGCAACUAGCUCUUGUAAUUUGGGUUGAUUAGAGGACUAAUGGUCAAAGAGAGCUCACAACUCUCCAUAUAUAUAUUCUUAGAGAUUUUUCUAAUAUUAUUUAAAUCAUUGAUCGAAUUUUGUUGGAAACGCCAUCGAUGAUGAGUUCGUUGCUCACGAGGUCAGACAAGUUUGUCAAAGCUGAUCUUGAGCUCGACGGAGGGGGGAGGGAGAGCUUCUGCUCCACCUUGCGCUUGGGAUGCAACGAUGGGUUGAUCCCCUGCCGCCCAAUGUGGGCUCCCCGUGGUUGGGCGGAGACAUACUUCCACGGUUCGCGGCGGAGGGAUCGAUCGCACCACAUGGGUCGGCAAGCUGAACUCGGCAAUCAAUAGACUCUGCAACGCUGCACCACAUACAACAGCAGCUCUAUAACGGGUUCUACAAGCUGAACUCAGCGGUGAUUCGGCAACACUGCAACAACAGCUCUAUAACGGGUUCGGCAAGCUAAACUCGGCAUUUGGCGGUUCAGCAACAGCAGCGUCUCCUUCCUGCCACUUCCAAAGGUUCAGCAAUGGCAGCUCUACAGCAGCUGAACUCAGAGAGGAGUUCGUCGAUGGGGCAAACAAUAGUUCAGUGAGGCUACAACGGGAGUUCAACAAGGUAAUCGUGCAGAUCACAAGCCUUUUGUUUAGGCACAACUUGCAGCAGCAGCAAUAUAGAGGGCUGCCGGUGCGCCAUAUCACCCUUUGGUGGGAUAGAGUGGUAGCAGGUGUAGUUGGGCGGCAACACAUCGAGCUACGGUUACAAGCAAUGGCUCAGUGAGUUGAAGAUGAAUGUGGACAUGACCAAACCACAAUAGCAGAUGACCAGUCUUCGGCAAGACAGCUCGUGUAAUCGACUCGGCAAGGUAUAUUGACAGCUUAGCCUACAACUACAGGUAGCGUUCCUGGCCUCGGGUGUGUUCCAUGUCUCAGCGAGAUGCCGCUCGAAGUUAAGUGACAUUUGCAGCUCGGAGAUCAGCGGUAUUAGGGAAGAAGCCAGUGAUAUCCCAGUUAGCCUAAUGUGUCCUGACCCAGGUGUACAGUGAGUGAUGAGUCUGAGGUGCAAUCCAAACUUUUUGAGACCCGAAGGGGUGAGUCCACUAGCUCUAAGGUGCCCUAUAAGAAGAUAGAGGUUGAGGGUUUUCCCAAUGGGAUCCUUUUAAUGGUCAAGUUAGCUAGAGAUGAUGAAUAAUAAAAAUAAUAUGAUUAAUUAUUUUUAUCUUGAUCCUUGGGCCUAAGGCUCGGCUCAUGGAUUCUUGUGUAAGUGGACGAUAAAGGAUGGGACAUUCCCAAACCACUUUCCCUUGGACUUAUGUCCAUCCGGUAAUCUCUCCUUUAUCAUUUGUCCCCUCCCCCUCUUACUUCUAAACUCCUAUUGGGGGAUUCAAAAGUGCAUGAAUUGUGCCUACCAAAUGGUCAAACAUUGAGCUAAAGAGUCAGACAUUGUAUCGAAAAAUUAUCAUGUCGUAAUUAGACAUCGAACUAGAGAAUUGAUCGACAUGCUAGAAGAAUGUACAAUAUAUCAAAGGAUAUGAUGAUGUAAUUAGACAUCGAACUAGAGAAUUGAUCGACAUGCUAGAAGAAUGUACAAUAUAUCAAAGGAUAUGAUGAUGUGUUGAAGGUUCAGACAAAAUGCUGAAAGAUCAGAUAACAUGCCAAAAAAGUAGACAUCAUGUCAAAAGCUUUGAAGAUGUUCUGGAUGAGUGGAUGAUGAAUCGAGGUCUUGAUUAUGGUUAGUUUGGGUUAGUAUUAUUUUGAAAUAUAGUCCACUUGUCAUCCAAGUCGUUCAACUUAAAGCAACGCUAAAUUGAGGUUGUUAGAAGGCCAAACUAAUGGCCUAAAUUAGGCUUGGGUGAUGGUACCACUAGGCCUAAGUAGUGGUAUUGCCCGAGUCAAUCGACCAACACUUUUUAGUAUUAUCAACCUUAUUAACGAUAGUACUGUCUUUGUCAAUAGUAGUGCCACCUAGGGCAACAAUAAUACUAUUCAUAAUUUAAAAUUUAUGAUAGAGAUCAAACUUGUCGAAUUUCUAUCUUCCCAUAUUAGGAAUUUCACCUUCAUGUGUGGGUAGCUUAUGUCCUAUUCUUGGUUCUUUUUUCCUGUGUCUUCGGAUCGGUUUAAUGGAAGACUUAAAUUUUCAACUUGUUGAAACUUGUUGAAGCUCUCCAAUAAACUCUUUUUGAAAUCGUUAAUGGUUUCUUAAAGUUAGUUCUCAAUUUUAGUUACCAAGGCUUCUAAUUAGGCUUUCAUUGAAUUGUCGGUAGUGUUAGGCAUGAGUCGGCACUAAGAGGGGGGGGUGAAUUAGUGCAGCGGAUAAAAGUCGUUGGUUCAAAUUCUUCAUACGAUAAAAACCCGUUUUGUAAAGAUGCUUAAAUUGAAAGCGUACGGAAAAGUAUAGCAAGUAAGGAAGUUUUUGUUAAAGUAAAUUGCUCAAAAGAAAUGCAAACCGAGUUUAUAGUGGUUCAAUCAUCAUGACCUUCAUCCACUCCUGAUUCCUCUUCCGUCGAGGCCACCGACAUCCACUAACGGUCUUCCUUCAAUAGGCAAAGACCAACCACCUUCUGACAACUUUAUUCUCCUUUUGACAUGCUCAGGAGAGAACUUUUACACCUCUUUUAGAUCUAGACAUCUUUUCUCCAUUCAAAAGAACUUUCUAAAUACUAGGAAGAAUGAACUCUACUCUUCAAGAGAGAUUACAAUUUUUACUCAAGGAUUCUUUCCCAUUUUUUAACUCACUUUCUUACCUUGCUAAGCAAGAAAGAGGAGGGUAUUUAUAGGCCCUAAAUGGAUUCAAAUUUAGAGCCCAAAAUUCAAAUCCCCGAGAUUUCGGGGUACGGGCGAUACCACCGCUUGUAGCAUGACACUGGGUUGUACAACUGCCUAGUCUAGCGAUACCAUCACCUGACAGCCUUGGAGAUCGAGUUUUUCAAAUUUUAUAACUCAUAGGCGGUACUAUCGCCUGUUCUAGCAGUGCCGCCACCUGACCCAACUUUUGGGUCACUGAAUGAGCCUCCUAAUGAGCUCAAAUCAGCGUAAUUAAAGCUCAAUUGGCCCCUAAUUGAGUUAGCAUUAUUACACUAAAAGCUAACUCAAUUAGCCCCCUAAACUACUUCAAUCUUCGACAAAUGAUUACAAAGCAUGAAUCCUUUGUCUGACAUGUCAUUGGUUCAUCCGGCGCUUGUCCGAUCCUUCGACGCAUCGUCCUCUCCUUCGGCAUAUUGCCCAAUCGGCAUAUUGACUCCUGCAACUUCCGAUCUCCUUGGCGCAAUGUCUAACCCUUCGGCCCGAUGCCCGAAUUUAUGACAUGAAGCAUUCUGCCGACACGUCGACCGAUCCUCCAACCCGACGUCCAAUCUUUUGACAUGUUCACUCCGGCCCAAUGUUUGAUUCCUCUUGCUUUAAUCAAUUUGUCUCUCCUUGAUCGAAGCUAGUCUUGCGUCACUCAAAACACAUAUUAGAUCAUAAACUUAUUAAUUGAUUUCAUCAUCAAAAUCUGAGAUUCAAUAGGUAGCUAUUGUAUAAGACUGCAAAUCUAUAAUCCCUAGUUCUUAUUUUUGAUGUCUGGUCAAGGGCAUCAGCAUUGCCUUAUUCAGUGCAACUUUUAGUGACGUCGGUCUAACACAACAUUGAGGACAAGACUAGAAGGCAAUGAUGGCGGCGCGAUUGGGAGCAGCUUCGCUAAGGGAUGCUGUCGAGGCUGGGAGGCUAACGUCAACCUGAGGCAACAUUGAGGGCAUGGUUGGGAGGCAAUGAUGGUAGCGCAGCUGGGAGCAACGUCACGAAGGGCUUGGAGCAUUGGCAAUCGGCGUGGGGGUUGCUAUGUCUUUGUCACACUAUGGGAUAAGACGGUGGCAACAUCGAGGGAUCAUGAGCGGUCGAGGGCUGAGGCUGCGACGACUACUAUCGAUGCUGGUGGCGAAGAAGAAGGAAAUAACGAUGAUCAAUGGCUACAGUGGAAGGUGGGAUGAGGGAUGAGAUGCUGGCGGCGCCAAGGGUUGAGGUUGCGAUGACUACUGUCGAUGCUGAUGGCAAAGAAGAAGGAAACAACGAUAAUCGACGGUUGCGGCAUAAGGUGGGAUGAGGUAAGGAUCAUGACUCUAAUACCAGAUGAUAAGACCCCUUGGAUUUUAUUGUACAAAAAGAGAAAAGAAAGGGGAUGGUCAUUACAAGAGGAUCAGCCUCCUAGGAUUUGCCAAAGGCUAGAAUAAUAUUUCAUAUAUGAUGAAAAGAAACAAAUAUAUCCAUAUUUAUAGAGUUCAGUCCAUCAAUAUUGGACUCCUAAUAAAAUAAAUAAAUCUUAAAUUAGCCCAUAUUCGACUUUUGAUGGACUAAAAAAUUUUAGAAAAUAAAAGGGAUCCUAACACAUGAGAAAAAUAAAAUGGCACUACAUCAACAUCACGUGAUUGUCAUAUCAACACCACAUGACCGCUACCUUAGCACCGCUUGACUAUCACCUAAGUAUUACAUAGUUGAUUUGUGAUCAAUAUUGUGAUAUGGUGGGCAUAUACCUACUAUAUGUGUACAUAUGAUUGAUAUAUGAUCAUCACAUGACCGAUUGCCUUUAUAAUAUGUAUUGAUCAUCGGAAAUAACGGUUCAAUAAGUCAACUAUAAAAGAGCUUCCAAUUUAUGUUUCCAAGAUUUUUUUUUUUCAAUACUAUUUGAGUCAUUGGUGGAAUCCUCUAAAUAAAAAACUAAAGAACUUAAUUAAGAAUACUUUCGAUGUAAUUUUGUAAAAAUCAGUCUCUUUUAAGGUUGAUAGGGUUUGAUCUCUUCGAAUUCGGAUGAGUUCGAUAUCCUCAAGUUCAUACAAGUGUGAUGUCAAUCAAGAUUAAACUAUAAUAAAUACAGAAGGAACAUUAAUUGGCUCCCAAUCAGGCAAUCAAAUCAUGCACUAACAAUAUUCUCUUUUUUUCUCAUAAAUACAUUUAUUUUGUCUUUUAUUCGGAAGAAGAAACGCGUAUCCAAUAAUAAAAGAGACUCGGUUAUAAGAAUAGAUCCUAGUCGUUGAUCACCCAAUCGAUGGCGCAGAAGGCGGCCUCGAGGAAUUGCUCUGACGCAAGCGAUCACCUCACUCUCUAGAGAGAGUUAUAUUUUGUGCCACUCUUUUCACACGUACCCACAAAGCAACCCUUCAUCUCGUUAGAGGAACGAGUCACACCCACUAGAACCCACCAAUCACAAGAAAGAUGAGUCAGCUAAUGCUACAUUCAUCGCGAUCCUGUAAACCACGAGGGAGAAAAAAACCGUGGUGGUAGUGGUCACCGUAAUGUCACGACCUUAGCUGGAAUUGCCUAAGUCGUGCUGCACCUUUGCGUGUCCGUCCGCAAAGGUCAGCCUCCCCGAAACCUCCCACGGUCCCUUAGGACCUACAAAAGAGAAAACGGGUUAGAGAAAGCGCCUCACUCGGGAUCCACAAGCAAACAAUCCAUGAAACACUUCAUAGACAAUGCAAAUUACAAACAGACUUUACAAGCUCAGAACAGUUACACAAUAAAGGGGUAAAAUGGUCCAUUACAGACCGAAAAUCUCUCACACAUGUCCACAUGACACAACCUUUAUUUACAAGCCUAAAGGGGCCACCAAACCCAUUAAAAUGGGACUAUUAAGCCUUUGGCAAUCCCUCUUUAUGCUGUGCAAAGCAUAAACAAAUAGAAAGACACGGACAUACAUAAGCAUUACAUCAAACACCCUGUUUCAAAGUUUGUCCGUGACAUUCUCCCCCACUCAUCCCUUCGACGUCCUCGUUGAAGCCUUUGUGGACACUGCAACUCUUCACCUAUGCUGAAUCUUCAAUCUUCCGCUCUAGCUACAAUGCGCCUCUUGGCUCCUAGCUGCUCUCCGCUGCUAUAGUUGAGUAGUCGAACUUUUGAUCCGCUAUGCUGUUUCAACUCACCAAUGACUUUGACUCUAGUGAGGGGUUGGCUGAGUUGUGUUGAUCCUUGUUGAUUCCUGUGGAUCCUCUAGCUAAAGGAAAAGACCAUCCUUACUAUGCGCCAGUCUCUCAAAUGCCUCAUGCUGCUUGAACUGGGUGGAUGCUUGUUGGAGCUUUAACGAGCAUCGCCUCGUAAACUUUUGAAGUUUUGAGUCCUUCCUCCACAGAAUUUGCUCAUCGACUCUUCUUUCACUUGGUUGUCCCUUCCAAGUAGGUUCGCAUCACUUCUUCUUCCGAUUGGCAUUUCGUUGGGAAAUGAAGCGAACAAUCUACUCUCAGUAGCACUGAUCACCGUUGGUGAGGAUUUGACAACCAUUGUCUUCUAUUAUCUCCGAAGGGUCUUUGAACUUGCGCAGAGCUCCUCUGCUAGAUAGAUAAGAGAAUUGGGAUACUCGGUUUCGCCCAUUCUCUUAAUAGUUGAGAAGGCAAAGGUUACUUGACUUCGCCCGCCUCCUCGAGGUUGUACUCCAUGCAUCGAGCUGGUUACUGGCCUUCGCCUGCUCUUUGCUCACACUUCUGAAGCACUUGAAGUGUUUGCACUCCUUGCAUUGAGUUAGUUACUGUGAUUCACCUUCUCAAUGCCAUUGAACUUCUGGAAUGCAGGAAGUUUUCACCCCAACUUGGAGUAAGUCUCUGAUAGUUUUGGUCACCUCUAGGAUUGUACCGUCUUCUCCAUCAACCCUACCGCCUACUCCACUGAGUAGCAAAGGUACAGCACCGCGUACUGCCUGCUUCGUUCCUUGGUCGUGCACUCUUGCAUGACCCGAAGUCCUUCACUUUCGGCAAUCUUGAUGAAAAGCUCGUUGGCACCGGUCUUACGAAGUUCCUAGGCCUCCGCCCUUCAGCCUUGUCUCGGUACAUGGAGUUUGCCUCUACGCGCUCCAUCUCCUCGGCCCCUUUCACGACCAAGCGCUCUCCAUCCAUGAGAGCAAGGGAUCGAUGACUUUCACGGAAGUCCCGCCUCUGCGGUACCCUGGCGCUGCGAUGCCCAUGGCCCUACUAUCCGUCGCCUCGUAUCUGCAUCCCUUUUCUUCACGAUCAGUAGAUAUGUCUCCGUGGCACUCCUCCGAGUCCAUCUCCAUUCUAACUUAUGCUUGAUUUUAGGUAGCUAAGUCCAUCUGGACUCAUCGUCGCUUCCUCGCCCUUUUCGACCCCCUACUUCAACACCUAUGUGUUCUCCAAGCAGAUCCCUUUGGUCGAUGGAAAGACAGACUACAACUCCCAUGCAUGGCCACUACCAUCACGUUGUAGGAUUUGCACCGAUUCUGUUCUCCUUAGCUUCCUUGGUAGCAACGUUCGCUUACUCGACCUUGUCGGGCUCCCUUAAGCGAAUAUGGGCUGGAGCAGUCCACCUCUCCAGCUGCUUCGAUCAUACAUCUGCAUGAUCAAGUCCCGCCCAUGGGACUCAUUAGUACUUGCAUUCGAACUUUUCCCUCGGUGGAACACAGCCCUCAUAUGCUGAUGACCAAGGUUUUCACCCGAUACAAAAUUCGAUGCAUGCACAGAAGACCCGCCUCUACGGUACCAUUGCCUUCACUCCUUGAAUCCAUAGCCCUUCUUGCCGUCGUGUUGUUCACCAAAGUGGAGCUUCCAGUAGCUCCCGAUCAUACCUCCGUAUGAUAAAGUCCCUCACGGGACUGGAUUCGUGUGUAUCACAUUGCCACGAACUGUUCCACCACGAUCCGCUGCACCAUGUCGCCUCCUGGUGACAUCUCCAUUGCAUUCUGAUAAUUGUGGGAUGAACUCGAAUUGUGAAACCCUCCAUGUGUGGCCUCUGCCAAUACAUCGCAGGGUCUCUUCCACCUUCGAUUUUGUUCGUUCCUUUGGCAAUCGACCUUCAUCCACCCGCUCUUGGGUCACACCUAGAUGAAGCACUGCUCUAGGACAGUCCGUCGCCUAGUAGCUCCCGAAGUCCACCGACUUCACUGCAAUUUGUGCACCAUUGUCUGGAUCCUGGGCCACUGCCCCUACCAGCACAAUCUCCGCUACGCACCGCUUCCUUCAAACAACUUGAAUGGCAACACUGUGGCAUAUUCUUCAAGAGUACCUGCUUGCGCGUCCUCUUACCUCGUGCUAAGGCCUCUUGAACCCAACUUCGCCUCCGCAAGUUGAGUCGCCUUAGUUCCUCCAUCAAAUGCUUCUUCGAGAUAAGGUGCAUGUGCCUCGAAGCUUCCUCCGUCUUUGGCACCAUGCAAGAUGAGUCCGCUCCAUCAGAAUGAAUGACCCAUGGAACAACAUGAUCCUGCUCUUGCCUCUGCAAGAGUUCAUGUCCUUGACCUCUGUCCAAGGAAAGCACUGUGCUUCUGCUCCACGUUCCAUCUUCUAUGCUGGCUCCCUUCAAGCGGCUUGGGUACUUCGCCAAGUUACACCCAAGUUGCUCCGCUCCUCGUUUUUGCAUUGAGUUGAUGGUGGCCCUCGCGCCCACCAUUCCACGGGUCAGCCCUCCCUUGAGUCCGAUCUCCAUAUCGACUAAGUGUGCCUUCGUUUGUGUUGCUUUGGGUCGCUCCCCCACUUGAUCUCGCAAUGCAUCCACCAAUGCAUUCUCUCAAGCGAGAUCAUGCGACGACCCCUCGCCGCUCGCUCGGUCCAUUGAGCUUCGUGGAGUUGUUGGGUUUUGAGGUACUCCUCAACAUGUGCGGUCUAUCGCACAUGAUUCUCCCUCUGGAGAGCCGAGACUUAUCCCUCCUGGAUAUCUAUCCCGUUGGAGCAACAUCUCUCUUCGAUUCGGAGACCACCAUCCCCUUGGACUACUCCGAUUUGCUGAACAAGUUGCGCAUUGUUCUGCCUCCUGCAAACGCACUUGCUAGAUUGCGACUCCACGUCAAUACAGCCCCCGCUGCACCCCUCAAGGCCUAGCAACAUGCUGAACUUGCUGCACAUUUCAGCCUCCUAGGGACGUAUCCUUCGCAUGCCGAAGAGAAAGUUUCAAUGCUCCAUGGCGCCGAGUUCCGGUCGCUUUGGGAUGGCCACGAAUAGUCCAUCGUCCGCAUACAAGCCCUUGCAUGAGUACCAAAUUCUUUGAGCUAGCAAUUCCCCUCACCUCUGUGAGCUUUGCACAACUCUUUCGGUCGCCGAACAACUCAUUCCACCUUGCAUGGUCUCGUCCUUUACCAAGCGCCUCGCUUGCCUUGAGCACCAUCAAGUGUUGUUGUCAACGUCGAGCCGUAGCUCGAACUCAGCUAUCCCAACCUUUGUGCGCUCCGCAUUCUUCCCAGCUUGUUUGUCCUCGUGGUGCCUCUUGCGCGAAGGGUUGGCCAUUCCUCUGAAUGCCAAUCUCGGAUGUCCGCUCCUCUGAGCGACUCUUUUUCCCUACAUCUCUAUGCUUGUUUUCUCCAAAACGGUCGCGCGCAUGCUGAUUGCCCUAAACGCAGCCCCGCUAGGUCCCCCACAUUUGCAUGUCAAGUGUUUCUAUGAGUGCUUGUCCCGCUCUGAUACCAUCUGUCACGGCCUUAGCUGGAAUUGCCUAAGUCGUGCGACACCUUUGCGUGUCCGUCCGCAAAGGUCAGCCUCCCCGAAACCUCCCACGGUCCCUUAGGACCUACAAAAGAGAAAACGAGUUAGAGAAAGCGCCUCACUCGGGAUCCACAAGCAAACAAUCCAUGAAACACUUCAUAGACAAUACAAAUUACAAACAGACUUUACAAGCUCAGAAUAGUUGCACAACAAAAGGAUAAAAUGGUCCAUUACAGACCAAAAAUCUCUCACACGUAUCCACAUGACACAACCUUUAUUUAUAAGCCUAAAUGGGCCACCAAACCCAUUAAAAUGAGACUAUUAAGUCUUUGGUCAUCCCUCUUUAUGCUGUGCAAAGUAUAAACAAAUAGAAAGACACGGACAUACAUAAGCAUUACAUCAAACACCCUGUUUCAAAGUUUAUCCGUGACAGGAAGGCGCUGCCCACAUCGUCAUCUUCUGCUUCACCGCCCCUCGAUUUAGAGAGUGAGAGAGCGCAGAGACAAAAAGAGUGAUGAAGGCGGUGGUGCUGCCGGACUUCUGGGCGAUCCUGUAAAAAGCAAGCGAGAAAUAAAUCGUGGUGGUAGCGGUCACCUUAAGGCGCAGCCCACAUCGUAUCUUCUGCUUCACUGCCGCUCUAUUUAGAGAGUGUGAAAGCGGAGAAAGAGAGACAGAGACGAGAUGGACAAAAAGAGAGCGAUGAGUGCGGUGGUGCUGCUGGACUUCUGGGCGAGCCCGUUCGGGCAGCGGUGCCGCAUCGCAUUGGCGGAGAAGGGAGUGGAGUACGAGUACAGGGAGGAGAACAUCCUGGGGGACAAGAGCCCGCUGCUGCUGCAGUCCAACCCCGUGCACAAGAAGAUCCCCGUCCUCAUCCACGAUGGCAAGCCCGUGUGCGAGUCCCUGAUCGUCGUCCAGUACAUCGACGAGGCGUGGCCCGACCGCGCGCCGCUGCUUCCCGCCGAACCCUGCUCCCGCGCCCAGGCCCGCUUCUUGGCCGACUUCGUCGAAAUGAAGGUGCGUUCUCCUUACGCCGAUGCCUCCCAUGUGUUCGACUCUUGUUCUCCUCUUCGGAUUACCACUGUGUUUCAUAGAAUCCACUUCCCGAUAUAUAUUUUUUUCUGGAUCAUUUUAUCUGUGACGCAUGCGAUGACCUCACUCUCCAGAGAGUUAUAUUUUGUGCCACUCUCUUGAUCGGUACCCAGAUUGCAAACCCUCUUGUCGUUGGAGGAGAGUGUCGGCCACUGGGACCCAUGAAUAACGAGGGAGAUGGGUGACGGAAUGGUACAUUCACCACGAUCCUGUCAAAAACAGGCGCGAACAAAAGUCGAGGCGGCAGCCGAGACCCCAUCGCCAUCUUCUGCGUCACUGCCCCUCUAUUUAAUGAGUGAGAGAGCGGAGAGAGACAGAGACGGAGAGACACAAAGUGAGAGCGAUGAAGGCGGUGGUGCUGCUGGACUUCUGGGCGAGCCCGUUCGGGCAGCGGUGCCGGAUCGCGCUGGCGGAGAAGGGAGUGGAGUACGAGUACAGGGAGGAGAAAAUCAGGGGGGACAAAAGCCCCCUGCUGCUCGAGUCCAACCCCGUGUACAAGAAGAUCCCCGUCCUCAUCCACGACAGCAAGCCUGUGUGCGAGUCCCUGAUCAUCGUCCUGUACAUUGACGAGGCGUGGCCCGACCGCGCGCCGCUGCUUCCCGCCGACCGCUACGCCCGCGCCCAGGCCCGCUUCUGGGCCGACUUCGUCGACAAGAAGGUGCGCCGAUGCCCUCCAUGUGUUCGAUCUAUGUUCUCCUCUCCGGAAUACCAUAUUCUUAGUUCCCUUUCAAUGGUUUUACCCAUCAGGUCUGUGAAUCUGCAUUGAAUCUGUGGAAGCUCAAGGGCGAGGCCCAGGAGGCGGCCAAGGAGGAGUUCAUCGAGAUCCUCAGGCUCCUGGAGUGCGAGCUGGGGGACAAGAAGUACUUCGGCGGCGACGUCUUCGGCUUCGUUGACAUCGCGCUCGUCCCCUUCACGACCUGGUUCUACAGCUGCGAGACCUACGCCGGGUUCAGCGUCGAGGAGGCGGUCCCCAAGCUGGUGGCGUGGAGCAAGCGGUGCCUGGAGAGGGAGAGUGUCGCCAACUCCCUUUACGACCCCGUCAAAAUCUAUGAGUAUGUCAAGACGAUAUUUGGGUAGUGAAUAAAGUCCCCGUAUAUAUAUAUAUAUAUAUAUAUAUAUAUAUAUAUAUAAUAGUUUCUCGAUUUGAUCUUCACGCUUAAGUUAAUAAUCUGAGAUCCUCAAAUAUGAAUUCCAGUAGCUCAAAAAGAGUUUUUUCUAUAUAUCUUAAAUAAAAAUAAAGUUUGAAAUUAACUUUCUUGUCGUAAAGUAUGAGAAUGAAGUUUGUGAUUGCUUUCCUUAUCAUAAUGAAUUAGAAUGAAGUUUGUGUUUGCUUCUUGUUGUAAAGUAUGAGAAUGAAGUUUGUGAUUGCUUUCCUUGUCAUAAUGAAUGAGAAUGAAGUUUGUGUUUACCUAUUUUGAAUCUUAAUCUACGGAAAUAGAUGGGUGAAAGGUGACUUAGUUCCCACAUGGUAAUCACAUGUUGAUAAUAGAUUCCCUAUCUACAUACUUCAAUGUAACUGUUCAAUUUUCAAGUCCAUAGACUUGACCAUCAAUCAAGAAAGUAUUUUGAAUUAAAAAAAUAUUAUAUAUCUAUUAUUUACAUAGUUGAUAUCAGAAGCAUGGUGGCAACUCAACAUGAUAUCAGGGCUCUCUUGUCCAUACUCAAAUUGAUAGCUAGGUUGGCCAUUGACAUCAAUCAAUGAAGCCACCCACAAUAAGAUCAGAUGAAGGUGCUUAUCAACACAACAUGUCCCAUCAACAAAUCUCCUAGUUUAGUCAUGUUAAUCAUGAAGCACUAUAUUCAUGUUAAUCAUGCGUUCUACCUCAUCAGCUCAUUGUGUGCCAUCGUACUCGAUCUUGUCAGCCCACUAUGCACCACCUCGCCCAACCCCUUCAACCCAUUGUGUACCAUCGUGUUCGACCUCAUCGGCCCAUUAAGCAUCAUCGUGCUUGCCCCCCUCGACCCACUGUGUGUCACCACGCCUAGCUUCGUCAGCUCAUUGUGUGCCACCAUGCUUGGCUUAGUCAAUCCAUUGGGCAUCGACGUACUAGACCCAAUCAGCUAACACACACCUCUAUCUAAGGUAACUUAGCCUUCAUCAACCAUAAUAUUUCCUCUAGCUUAUGGUAUCAACCGUUAAUAUAAACCAAGUGUUACUUCCCAACCUAAUUUCAUUGUUCUCCCAAAAGUUGGAGGGUAUGUGUUAUGAGAAAAAUGAAAUGACAUCAUAUCAAUACUAUAUGGUUGCCACAUUAACACCACGCGAUUGCUAUCCUAGCACCAUAUUAGUACCACCUUAGUGUCACACGACUAACACAUUAGUGACAUGUGAUCGAUAUUUGAUGCAAUAUGUGGUUGACAUAUACCCAACAUGUGUUUACAUAUGAUUAGCACAUGACCAAUACCUCAAUAAAUUGCCUCUCCUUAUUUGUAUUGAUCACAUAAAAUAACGAUUUAGAGGGUUUAUUAUAAAAGGGUUCCCCAUGUUUGUUUUGAAAGACUUUUUUUCUUAAUACUAUUUAAGUUAUUGAUUGAAUCUUCCAGAUAAAAAAUUAACUUAAGUAUCAAAGUAACUUUUGUCGAGAACACCAAUUUUACAAGAUUCAAUCUCUUCCAGGUUGAUAAGGUUCGACCUCUUCGGGAUCAGAUAGGUUCAAUACUCUUAAGUUCAAAUAAAUACGGUGUCGAUCAAGAUUAGACUAUGAUAGAUUAGAAGAAACCUUUGUUGGCCGGCUCUGAAUCAUAUAAUCAAAUCAUGUACUAAUAAUAUUUUUUUUAAUCUCAUGAAUAUUUUUUUAUCUUUUAUUGGGAAGAAGAAACGUGUAUCCAAGAGGUUCGGAUAUAAGAAAAGAUCCUAAUCGUUGAUCAUCCAAUCGAUGGCGCAGAAGGCGGCUUCCAGGAAUUUGUCUUAACUAAAGCAAUCACUGCACUCCCGAGAAACUCUUUUGAUCUUACCCACAAAUCAACCCCUCGUGUCAUUAGAGGAACGAGUUGCCCCCACUAGGACUCACCAAUCACGAGAAUGACCAGAUAACAACUGCUACAUUCACAAAAGACGCGAGAAAAUAAACGUGGUGGUAGCGGUCACCUUAAGGCGCAUCCCACAUCGUCAUCGUCUGCUUCACUGCCCCUCGAUUUGGAAAGUGAGAGAGCGGAGAGACGAAAAGAGAGCGAUGGAGGCGGUGGUGCUGCUGGACUUAAGGGCGAUCCUGUAAAAAGCAAGCGAGAAGAAAAUCGUGGUGGUAGCGGUCACCUUAAGGCGCAGACCACAUCGUCAUCUUCGGCUUCACCGCCCCUCUAUUUAUAGAGCGAGAGAGCGGAGAAAGAGAUAGAGACGAAGAGACAAAACGAGAGCGAUGAAGGCGGUGGUGCUGCUGGACUUCUGGGCGAGCCCGUUCGGGCAGCGGUGCCGCAUCGCAUUGGCGGAGAAGGGAGUGGAUUACGAGUACAGGGAGGAGAACGUCCUGGGGGACAAGAGCCCGCUGCUGCUGCAGUCCAACCCCGUGCACAAGAAGAUCCCCGUCCUCAUCCACGAUGGCAAGCCCGUGUGCGAGUCCCUGAUCAUCGUCCAGUACAUCGACGAGGCGUGGCCCGACCGCGCGCCGCUGCUUCCCGCCGACCCCUACUCCCGCGCCCAGGCCCGUUUCUGGGCCGACUUCGUCGACGUGAAGGUGCGUUCUCCUUACGCCGAUGCCUCCCAUGUGUUCGACUCUUGUUCUCCUCUUCGGAUUACCACUGUGUUUGAUAGAAUCCACUUCCCGAUAUAUAUUUGCAUAAUCUAUUUUUUGAUCGAUAAACAAAUUCUAGAUUCUUCUGCUCACUCGUUAUUUGAUCUGCUCGUCCUGUAAGAACAAUUGUGCAGCACCCGUUUGUUCUCAGCACCCUUUAACGUUAUUCUUCUUCACGUAUCAGUUCAAUGAAUGCGGGUCAAGGCUGUGGAAGCUCAAGGGCGAGGCCCAGGCGGCGGCCAAGGAGGAGUUCAUCGGGAUCCUCAAGCUGCUGGAGGGCGAGCUGGGGGACAAGAAGUACUUCGGCGGUGACGCCUUCGGAUUCGUCGACGUCGCGCUCGCCCCCUUCGUGUCCUGGUUCUACAGCUACGAGACCUGCGCCGGCUUCAGCAUCGAAGAGGCGGCGCCCAAGGUGGCGGCCUGGGGCAAAAGGUGCAUGGAGCGGGAGAGCGUGGCCAACGCACUGUCACACCCCGACAAGAUCUACGAGAUAGUCGGCGUUCUCAAGAAGAAAUUUGGAGUCGAGUAGUCUGCAGUAGUAGUAGUAGCAGUGACUGUGUGUUGCAUGGUGUUUGCCUUCUUUGUGUCUGAUGAGAUACACACUUGUUGGUGGUGUAUACCACUUGAAUAAUUGCCCUCUCUGUUAUCUUCUCGAAUAAUACUAUAUCACUUCUUGGUGGUGUUAUGGGGCACCUGCACCAUUCUUUCAUUAGAGAAUAGGAAGAAUUCUCUCGCUCUCUCUUAAUAUAUAGACACUAACGUGUGCUUCAUUAAAAGAUUAUAGAUCACUUGAGUUCUACCAUUAGCUUAACUCUUCCCAUCCAAGAGGAGCUCGAGUUACGUGUAAGGAAGUGGAAUUGCAUUAUCCUUCGUUUAUCAACAAAGGGCCAUUUAUUUUAGUGUAUGAUGUCACAUCAUAUAAAUGCACGAUGCACAGGUGUAUCGAGGUCGAGAAGUCAAGCCAUCCUUCGUUGAAUUCAUUCAAAGAAGAAGAAAGCCUAAUCGAAAUGUACUGACCUAUUCGUUCUUGUGCUCCAAGCAAGGAUUGAAAUGAGAAGCUGACUCACCUGUUUCUUAUUCUUUUCUCUUUUUUUUAUCGUAAAUAGUUUUUGGUAUUUUAUUUGGAAGAAGAAACGUGUAUCCAACAAUAAAAGACUCGGAUAAAAGAACAGAUCUUGGUCGUUGAUCGCCCAAUCGACGGUGCACAAGGCAGCUUCGAGGAAUUGCUGUGACGCAUGCGAUCACCUCACUCUCGAGAGAGUUAUAUUUUGUGCCACUCUCUUGAUCAGUACCCAGAAAGCAACCCCUCUUGUCGUUGGGGGAGAGAGUGCCGGCCGCUGGGACCCAUGAAUAACGAGGGAGAUGGGUGACGGAAUGGUACAUUCACCACGAUCCGGUAAAAAACACGCGCGAAAGAAAGUCGAGGCGGUUGCGGUGGCGUGCCACAUCACCAUCUUCUGCGUCACUGCCCCUCUAUUUAACGAGUGAGAGAGCGGCGAGAGACAGAGACGGAGAGACACAAAGUGAGAGCGAUGAAGGCGGUGGUGCUGCUGGGAUUCUGGGUGAGCCCGUUCGGGCAGCGGUGCCAGAUCGCGCUGGCGGAGAAGGGGGUGGAGUAUGAGUACAGGGAGGAGACCGUCCCGAGGGACAAGAGCCCGCUGCUGCUCGAGUCCAACCCCGUGUACAAGAAGAUCCCCGUCCUCAUCCACGACGGCAAGCCUGUGUGCGAGUCCCUGAUCAUCGUCCAGUACAUCGACGAGGCGUGGCCCGACCGCGCGCCGCUAAUUCCCGCCGACCACUACGGCCGCGCCCAGGCCCGCUUCUGGGCCGACUUCGUCGACAAGAAGGUGCACCGAUGACCUCCAUGUGUUAAUGUUCUCCUCUCCGGAAUGCCAUAUUCUUAGCUCCCUUUCAAUGGUUUUACGCAUCAGGUCUGUGAAUCUGCAUUGAAUCUGUUAAAGCUCAAGGGCGAGGCCCAGGAGGCGGCCAAGGAGGAGUUCAUCGAGUGCCUGAGGCUCCUGGAGUGCGAGCUGGGGGACAAGAAGUACUUCGGCGGCGACGCCUUCGGCUUCGUCGACAUCGCGCUCGUCCCCUUAACGUCCUGGUUCUACAGCUUCGGGACCUACGGCGGGUUCAGCGUCGAGGAGGCGGUCCCCAAGCUGGUGGCGUGGAGCAAACGGUGCCUGGAGAGGGAAAGUGUCGCCAACUCCCUUUGCGACCCCCUCAAAGUCUAUGAGUAUGCCAAGAAGAUAUUUGGAUAGUGAAGAAAGUCCCGUCUGUAUGUAAUAAAAUAAAAUAAAGACAAUUAUUCAUAAAUAUUAUUGAUGAGAUACAUCUUUGGCUUAUGUUGGCUGUCACCGGAGAAAAGGAAAUAACUAAAAUUUGAAGAGGACGAUGAAGCAAACAGGAGGUAUUUUAUUCAGCAACCACAAGGAAGUAGGUGGAAGACAACGAUAAUUUCCAAUUGCUCCAACUGUGGCCACAAACACGACACACAAACAUCAAACCACAAGGCCUAGAAUGGCUGCAACCCGGGGUUCUUCUUCCUCAGGAAGCACACGAACUCGUAAACCUUGUGGGGGUCAGGAAGCGACGACAUGGCGACGCUCUCCCUCUUCAUGCACCGCUUGCCCCACGCCAUCAGCCUCGGAGCUUGUAUCUCCGUCCUGAAGAUUCCAAAUAGCUCGUAGGUGCGGUACCAGGCCACGACAGGGACGAGGAUGAUGUCGACGAAGCCAAAGGUGUCGCCGCCGAAGUACUUCUUCGCAUCUAACUCACCUUCCAAGACCUUGAGUGCCCGAAUGAACUGAUCCCUCGCCUCCUCCUGUUUCUCUCCCUCGAGCUUCCACAGCUUCAGCCCACACCCGAAGAUCUGACGACCAAAAAAGGUAAGCGUGCUUGUCAAGUUCUAUGCUUUGUGCUUAAGAAAAGCUCACAAAAUUUAUCUUUCUUAACGAAUGAGACAGGAAAUCGAAUGGUGAGAGAACACAUCAUCAUCACGCCAAAAGAAUCCGACAAUUCAUGAAGAAUUUGAUGUUGUAUUGGUAGCUUGCGUCAAUCAGUGAAGACUAAAUUGACAUCCACAUGUACGCAAACAUGCCGCGGAUGACGAGCUCAAAUGGCGGAAACAAACACAGGAAGGCGUAGCGGUGAAAUCAGUAGCCAGCGGACCUCCUUGUCGAUGAAGUCGGCCCAGUAGCGGGCCUUGGCGCGGCCGUAGGGGUCGGCGGGCAGCAGCGGCGCGCGGUCGGGCCACACCUCGUCGAGGUACUGGACGAUGACGAGGGACUCACACACGGGCUUGCCGUCGUGGAGGAGGACAGGGACUCUCAUGCGCACGGGGUCGGACUUCGCCAGCAGCCGGCUCUUGCACUCCAAUAUGCUCUCCUCCUCUCUGUACACGUACUCCAACCCCUUCUCCGCCAACGCCACCCGGCAGCGCAUCCCGUUGGGGCUCGGCCAAAAGUUCAGCAGCAUCAACCCCUUCGUCUCCGCCAUUACUGUUCUCACCCGAUGCUCCCUCGCGCUCUCUCUUCUUCUUCUCUUAUAUGAGGUGGGAGGAAGGGUUAAUCUUAGGGAUUCACUUGAGCGUCGUAAGACAUGCAUGCACAUAAGAUAGUGAGUCGGGUCUAACAAGCCAUUGGGUCAACCGUCGGUCGCGAUGCAGACAACUUUUAAUGGUGAUAGCUCUUGGAAGAUCUGUUCAAUAAAUUACUAAGAGAGCCUUCUUCUACUUAUUAAUCUAAAUAGAAUUAGCCAAUAGUGUCAUAUAUAUCAUUUGGUGUAAUGAAAAUAUAUAUCAUAUAAUUUUAUUCAAAGAAUUGGAGGAGCAUUCGGAUUUUUAUUAGGACCUAAGCAUAUCCAUAAAUCAUGAUUAUUUAUCAUUUCUUCAGAAUAAUUACAUCAAAAGUUAGACCUAAAUUUUGAGAUGACAUAAUAAGAUUAUAAAAUAAAUCGGAUCAUUUAGUAUAUUAUAUAUGAACAAAAAAGAAAAUAAAAUGUUGUCGGGGAAGCUGCAACCCAUGGUUUUGAGGAAGAAGAAAGAGAGAAGAAAUCGAUUACCACGGCAAGCUCAGUCCAUGGUUUGUUGUCGGCAUAGGGACGUACUAUUCAACAAUCACAAGGAAAUAGAUGGAAGACGACGAGAAUUGCCAACACCUCCCACCUUCAACACACCACACGCACGACAUAGAAAUAUUGCAGGCAGCAGCAGAAGAAUCCUGCUUCACUCGAGCCCGAACAUCUUCCUCAUGAAGCACACUAACUCGUAAACCUUGGCGGGGUCAGGAAGCGACAUGGCGACGCUCUCCCUCUCCAUGCACCGCUUGCCCCACGCCACCAGCUUGGGAGCCUCCGUCUCCGCGCUGAAGCUUCCAAAGGACUCGUAGGUGCGGAACCAGGCCAUGAGAGGGACGAGGGCGAUGUCGACGAAGCCGAAGGCGUCGCCGCCGAAGUACUUCUUCUCCCCCAGCUCGUCCUCCAGGAGCUUGAGUCCCUCAGUGAACUCCUCCUUCGCCUCUCCUUGUGCCUCUUUCUUGAGCUUCCAUAGCUUAGUCCCACACUCAAAGAUCUGACAACCAGAGAAUAGAAAGCAUGCUUACGAGUACUACAAACGCAUGCUGGAGAUAUCGCAUGGCGGAAACAGACGCAGGAAGGCGAAGUAGUGAAAGCAUGCAGUAGCAAACCUUCUUGUCGACGAAGUCGGCCCAGAAGCGGGCCUGGGCGCGGCCGUAGGCGUCGACGGGCAGCAGCGGCGCGCGGUCCGGCCACGCCUCGUCCACAUACUGGACGAUGACGAGGGACUCGCACACGGGCUUGCCGCCGUGGACGAGGACCGGGAUCUUCUUGUGCACGGGGUUGGACUGCAGCAGCAGCGGGCUCUUCUCCAUCACGUUCUCCUCCUUGUGCUCGUACUCCACCCGCUUCUCCGCCAGCGCGAUCUGGCAGCGCAUCCCGUAAGGGCUCACCCAGCAGUUCAGCAGCACCAAAUCCUUCGUCUCCGCCAUUGAUGUUCUCGCUCGAUGCUCCCUCGCUCUCUCUCUAGUCUUUGGGAGCUUAUAUAGAGGUGGUACGUUCGUGUAGUCUGCGUUGUAAGACGUGCAUGCACAUAAAAUAGGCUUCGUGUCAACGAUCUGUUCUGAUGUGGGGAUCCAAUUCCAAUGGCGAUCUCUUGGAAGAUCCAAGAUCUGCUUAGGAAAUGGCUAAGGAAACGUGUCAUGGCUUGCAUCAGAGACAGAGAAGCUGUUUAUAUAAAUGGCUAAGAGAGAGAGAGAGAGAGAGAAGCUUCCAAAUGCAAAUAACAAGAAGAAAACAUUGGGGUGCUCGAUCUUUCCUAACGUGAGCUGCUACCCAAAACACUAAUCAAUCAUAGGAGAGAUCUUAAACAUGGAUUCUUUCUUGUCAUUGCUUACGACAUGCGAUGAUCAAGUUUGAUUUCUUAUUAUUAGUGGUAUUAUUUUAAUUAUCCUGUGUAUGUUAACAUUGAUCUAAGAUCAAGUUUGUUCCUGUCAUCCAUUCUAUUAUGUAAGGUUAUACUUAGGAAUAAUCCUUUUGUUAAUCAUCCAUUCUAUUAGUUUGUUCUUUGACGAAUUCCAUUGGAAACUGCUCUCUGUAGAUGAACCUGUCUCAACCAUUCAAUCUUGUCCAUCUUCUGCAAACGUCAUUAAACCAGUAUCUAACAUCCCCCUAAACAUAGAAGUCAAAGUCAAACUGAACAUUCUAUAAAUAAGUCAACCCCCUAACUGCCUCAGAAGAAGUCCAAAUCUAUCAUCAAUUGUCCAUCACAAAAUACUUGUAACAAAAGAACACAUAAAUUACACACAGGGAAGGCAGAUGAAACCUUGAAGUGAGAAGGGAGGAGGAGAACAGAAAGGCCUCCCUCUUCCUUGUUUGCUGGUAGACAGAUGUGCUACGAUUAUAUUAAGUAUACCAAUCUCUUGUCUUUUCUCCAACCAUAAGGUACCAUUGAAGGCUUUUUCUUUCUUCUGUCUCACUCUAGAUUCAACAGAAGAAGAGUUUUCAUCUUCUUUCUCCAUCAGAAUUUGCUGCAGAUAUGAACGGUUUGCGUGUGAAUUCGUCCCCCCAGUUGAUUCCUCCGAGUGGUGUAGAUCAUCCAAACGAAGCCACCUUGGAAGGUGAAGAAUGUUACAUAUCUGUUCUUCUUCCUUCAUUUCAUCUUGUUAUCUCCUUACUCUGCUGUGUUUGAUGUCGUCGCAGAGAAUGUGAAGUCGUUGUUGAGGUUGAUACAUGAUUACACAGAAGGCGGUGGGCGCAGACCACAAUGCGUCACCGGGAUGAUGACGGUCCUCGAUGGUCUGAAGUCUCAGGUCCAGAAACUGCAGCCUCCACGGAGGGGAGAGGCCGAGCUCCGCCGGUGCAACACCGACCUCCGCCG